GACGAACGCCGGCGGCGUGCUUAACACAUGCAAGUCGAACGAAGAGCGAUGGAAGCUUGCUUCUAUCAAUCUUAGUGGCGAAGGGGUGAGUAACGCGUAAUCAACCUGCCCUUCAGAGGGGGACAACAGUAGGAAACGACUGCUAAUACCGCAUACGAUCUGACCUCGGCAUCGAGGAUAGAUGAAAGGUGGCCUCUAUUUAUAAGCUAUCACUGAAGGAGGGGAUUGCGUCUGAUUAGCUAGUUGGAGGGGUAACGGCCCACCAAGGCGAUGAUCAGUAGCCGGUCUGAGAGGAUGAACGGCCACAUUGGGACUGAGACACGGCCCAGACUCCUACGGGAGGCAGCAGUGGGGAAUCUUCCGCAAUGGACGAAAGUCUGACGGAGCAACGCCGCGUGAGUGAUGACGGCCUUCGGGUUGUAAAGCUCUGUUAAUCGGGACGAAAGGCCUUCUUGCGAAUAGUUAGAAGG
rnacentral:rRNA from 1 species